GUGGUAAAUUUGUGCCGGGAUGCUCUGGUGCCUUCCUCAUGUGGCUGUAGCUGGACGAGGCUGGGACUGUGGUGGGCCACCGUGGGUAGGCACUUGCACGGUGGUUUUUUACUUAAGCGGUUUCAAGUUCUUAUCCACGAACAAUCCAGAAGAAAUUCGUGGCAUUGUUGGAUGCAUCCAGUUCAACACGUCCCCAUCUAAAAUUCAUUUUCCUCUGUUCUUCCCCAUGAUCUUAUCCAUUAACCCCUCUCUACUCCGCCGCCGGUCUCCCAUGGAGAUCUCCUCCAUGGCUGCAUCGGUCACGAACCCACCAGCACCAUACCGGAGACCCGCGUGAGCAGGCCGAGUCCGGCGUGCUGGCUACAAAAACGAGGCUCUGCGGCGGAGGAUGCCGACGCGGUGCCGUAUCGUGCCGGUGAGGAGCAGCGUGGGAAGAGGUCUGAGCUCGCCGAGAUUGUGGUGACGGCGACGGUGAUGGCGGCGGCGGCGGCAGCGGCGAUGACGUUUCUUUCCCGGAACAGAGGGAGAGGCUUAGGUUCGCCAAACCGCUGCCCCGCCGAGCCGCCCCUCCCACGUUGAGCGGCGGCGGGAUACGCGCCACAGCGGAGGCUCAAGGGCCGAUCCUCUGCCCCUCGGAGCCACCUCUCCCGCGUGUUACGGACGCUAUCCCCCCACCUCCACCGGCCUGCCCCUUCCCGUGCCCGACCCUCCCGCCCCGGUCUCUUCUCCGCCCUGAUCUCCUCUGAUGCGGCGGUUCACUUGCGGAGGGAAACGCUGGAAGCGCUCGCCGACGUCUUCGAUGCCGCAGCGGCUGCGGCAGGUGGCCGGCGCUGUCCAGGGCCGGUGCGCGGAAGAGGUCGGACAGUUACCUGUACGUAUUAUGACAUAUUAUUUUCUCUGUAUUUUAAUAUUGAUUGUGUUCGUUGCCGCAGAUAAGCCCUGACUCCUGGUGCUUUGACUCUGUUCUCCUUGAGGAGAUCACGUUUCUUAGGUUUGCACUUUGCAGGCAGCUAACUAGAGUGUGCGUGGGCACAAGUGGAUGUGUGUGUCAAUUGAUAUUCAGCAUCCACGACUGUCAACAGAAGUGCAAGAGCCUACCUUCCAGCUGUGUAAUGCAAGACACUGACAUAAGGCUACAGCCUACAGCAAGGUAACCAAUACCAACUUCUGUAGUUUUCUAUGUGCCACAACCAGCCGAAAGAUUCUUUGUGGAAAAAGGGAGGCUUGAGACUGCACUUUUCCUGUUGGCCUGAAAGUGCAUAAAUAUUCGUUAUUUCUAUUUUAAGUCUCUGAAAAAUAGAUACAUGACUUUUCGAGGAAAACUAGGUAUAAAGCAGCGUAUGUUUUUCUUCUUGGUGCCUAUUGUAACAAGUCAUCCCAAGCAACAUUCGUCGAAAAUAAGAAGUCAUCCAAGCAACAUUCCUCGAAUGAAAGGAAGUAAGCACAGCAUCUAAUUGGCUACAUCUAACUGCUGGCAAAACCCGCAUGGCAGGCUAACUGGUUUUGGACAUCACUUUGACUACUAUAGAAUUAGGAUAGUCGAUCGUUUCUGCCAAGACUCACUCUGACGUCAGGUCUAAUGUUUUCAGGUCUUCAAUCUGGGCAUGAUAACUAUUAUGUUUGAGAAAUCAAUAUGCUAGGGAUUAUGCACGGUGGUGGUGGUAAGGUAUAUUCAGUAGCUCCUUCGUUGCUGCAAAUAUUGGAGGGUUUUCAAAUGAGAUAUGCUAUCAUAAGUUGGAAUGGUAAUUUUUAAAAGUGUAGCAUGGUGACCAUUUCUCUGACCAUCUGCCUAUAGAUUUUAUUAACUCCUCCGACUUUUCGGUUUUAAUCAGCGCAUGAACACAGGACAAACGAACUAGCAGUGGUUCCAAUUGAAGUCAAUUAAAUGGGAGCGGAGUGAGUAUUAUAGAUCUUGCAAAUGAAGUAUUCUCUGUAGAGCUACUUGAGUAUUCUAGAGAAAAUAUUGUAGCCCUUGCCAUUUUUUCAUAGAUGUUCACGACAUAUCUGACUAAAUGGAUUCUUGUUGUGAUUGAAGCUGGGAUUCAUCCUGUAUGUACCUGCCAUCGCUUCAUCUGCUCCUCUCAUCUUGUGAUACUACACAGUUUUUCCGAUCUCUGUCACCUAAUUGUCCUCCUGCAGGUACACCAGAAGGAGAUCAAGGCCGAGAAAGGAUCUCUGCUGAUGUCACCACCGACAAUGAAGGAGGAGAUGCAGAGCGCAAUUGGAGCUCCGCCUGGCUCUCCACCGUUUUAGAGCUCCAUUGCGAAACGACCAGCUGCACAACCGAGCGCAAAAGGCAAUAAAAGGAAGGCCGGCAAGAAUCCGAAGGGAGUAGGUCAGGAACAGGUUACACCGUUGUUUCAAAUGCAGUCACCGACAACCCUUAUGAUACACUCAAGAUUCCAAAGGCGUUCUGUCUGUACGUCAUCAGUGAUUUUCCACAGAAUGUCAUGCUCGGCAACACCAUUGGAGACACAUGGAGUGUUCGACUGGUGAAAUGGAGGAACCACAUCUUCAUUGAGCACGGAUGGGAUGCAUUCGCGGAGGCCAACAACAUUGCGGAAGGUGAUACUCUGUUCUUUACUUACACCUGACGUAGACAGCGAGAUAGUUAAUCAUAUGUGCUAAGGUCUGGCCACAUGUUCACCUAAAUGUUCAAUUACUUGGUCCAUCUGAUGCUGCAUUGUAUGAAUAGCUAUUUGUGUUUAUGCUCUUCUAAAUGAGGUGGAAAUAUUGCCAGUUCACAACAAAAUGAUGUUAGCCUGUAUGAAAACUAGGUGGUGAUUUGCCUCUCCCUCACUCUCAUUUGCACUGAUCCUUAUGUAUCCCUGUAUAGAUAGGCUCCUUUAGCGCUGAUGUCUGUUUCACGGUACCAUAUUAUAAGACGGCAUGCUCCUUCCAUCCUGAGCACUUGAUUGAUUUGUUCAAUGCAACCUGCCAUUUUGUUUGAGACCUAUCUUUUCAAUUAUAGCAUGCAAAAAUUACCUAUAUCGUACACCUGCAGCUAAAGAGAAGAUCUUAGAAUCGGCUUCCAAGUUAUUAGAAUUUAUUUCUUGACGAGUCCAUAAAGUUAAAUACCCUGUACUUUUCACCUGCAAGAAAUAUACCAUGAAUUGUUUUAUUCUGCUCUUAGAUUUGAUCUGGGUGCCAUUGUAGACCUUGAUAUGUUUCAGGACAUCGGCUACAGGGAAGAGAAUGGGAGGAUGCCUUUGGCGAUCAGGUGGAGCUGUAAUUGUCACGCAAGGGGACAAAGUUUUUGGAAGAAACCAUAUCUAGGCUGAAUAUAAAUUGUACUCUAUGCGAUAGUAUAGAUCUUGAAUUUUGCUUAGCAACUCCGUCCUUUCCUUUGUCAGUGGAAGGGGAAAACGGGCCACAGCUGGAGAUUUUGUAGCUUACAUAUGAGGUUGGAACAUAACCUCUGCUUUAUUUGUGUUGAUUAUUUGUAGUUCUUGGUGACUCACCAGAAUGAACACUGCUUAUAUGUCUUGUAUGGCUGUAUGAUUUGAUAGAAUUCCACCAUGGUUUUGUGACCAAAAAUAUUGAAAUACACGUCGCCACAGGCCUACUAGCUUGCAGCAAAAA